UGAUUCCCAGAGACCAGACGUCCACCUUCCCGUCGUACUGGCCCUCGUCCAUGGCUAGGAUCACCUCUGGAGCCAUCCUGGGACAUGGAGGUCAGACAAGUAAGGUCGGAGCCACUGCUGUCACACUGGUGUGAUGUUAAAACCCACCAGUAGGGGGUCCCCACAAAUGAGUUGGCCGGAGCCACGAUGGAGGCAGAACCAAAAUCGCCAAGUUUGACCUGGCCGGGUUCCGUCAACAGAAUGUUUCCUGCUUUCACGUCCCUGUGGGAGAAAGAGCAGUUGAAGAGGAGGUAGUUCACACUCAGACAGACCGACGCAACAGGAAACUCAAGCCACCGCGCCAGGAAACCAUCAAGUGUUCGAGAAA